rnacentral:rRNA from 1 species
GAUAAACGCUAGCGGCAGGCUUAACACAUGCAAGUCGAGGGGCAGCAUAGAUUGUAGCAAUACAAUUGGUGGCGACCGGCGCACGGGUGCGUAACGCGUAUGCAACCUACCCGUCACAGGGGGAUAAUCCGGAGAAAUCUGGUCUAAUACCCCAUAACAUAUGGAUCGGCAUCGGUUCAUGUUGAAAUUUUCGGAGGUGACGGAUGGGCAUGCGUAGCAUUAGUUUGUUGGUGAGGUAACGGCUCACCAAGGCGACGAUGCUUAGGGGGACUGAGAGGUUUUCCCCCCACACGGGUACAGCGACACGGACCAGACUCCUACGGGAGGCAGCAGUGAGGAAUAUUGGUCAAUGGGCGCAAGCCUGAACCAGCCAUGCCGCGUGCAGGAUGACGGCUCUAUGAGUUGUAAACUGCUUUUGUACGAGGGUAAAGUGGGUUACGUGUAACCUUUUGAAAGUAUCGUACGAAUAAGGAUCGGCUAACUCCGUGCCAGCCGCCGCGGUAA